UGCAAGUCGAGCGGAGACAGUGAGUAGCUUGCUAUGAGCUGUUUUAGCGGCGGACGGGUGAGUAACGCGUGAGCAACCUUUCCCAGACAGGGGAAUAACACACCGAAAGGUGUACUAAUACCGCAUAAGACCACGGGAUCACAUGGUUCUGGGGUAAAAGAUUUAUCGGUUUGGGGUGGGCUCGCGUCCGAUUAGGUAGUUGGUGAGGUAACGGCCCACCAAGCCGACGAUCGGUAGCCGACCUGAGAGGGUGAUCGGCCACAUUGGGACUGAGACACGGCCCAAACUCCUACGGGAGGCAGCAGUGGGGAAUAUUGGGCAAUGGGGGGAACCCUGACCCAGCAACGCCGCGUGGAGGAAGAAGGUUUUCGGAUCGUAAACUCCUGUCCUUGGAGACGAGUAGAAGACGGUAUCCAAGGAGGAAGCCCCGGCUAACUACGUGCCAGCAGCCGCGGUAAUACGUAGGGGGCAAGCGUUGUCCGGAAUAAUUGGGCGUAAGGGGCGCGUAGGCGGCUCGGUAAGUCUGGAGUGAAAGUCCUGCUUUUAAGGUGGGAAUUGCUUUGGAUACUGUCGGGCUUGAGUGCAGGAGAGGUUAGUGGAAUUC
rnacentral:rRNA from 1 species